rnacentral:rRNA from 1 species
AGAGUUUGAUCAUGGCUCAGAUUGAACGCUGGCGGCAGGCUUAACACAUGCAAGUCGAGCGGGGGAAGGUAGCUUGCUACUGGACCUAGCGGCGGACGGGUGAGUAAUGCUUAGGAAUCUGCCUAUUAGUGGGGGACAACAUCUCGAAAGGGAUGCUAAUACCGCAUACGUCCUACGGGAGAAAGCAGGGGAUCUUCGGACCUUGCGCUAAUAGAUGAGCCUAAGUCGGAUUAGCUAGUUGGUGGGGUAAAGGCCUACCAAGGCGACGAUCUGUAGCGGGUCUGAGAGGAUGAUCCGCCACACUGGGACUGAGACACGGCCCAGACUCCUACGGGAGGCAGCAGUGGGGAAUAUUGGACAAUGGGGGGAACCCUGAUCCAGCCAUGCCGCGUGUGUGAAGAAGGCCUUAUGGUUGUAAAGCACUUUAAGCGAGGAGGAGGCUACUCUAGUUAAUACCUAGGGAUAGUGGACGUUACUCGCAGAAUAAGCACCGGCUAACUCUGUGCCAGCAGCCGCGGUAAUACAGAGGGUGCGAGCGUUAAUCGGAUUUACUGGGCGUAAAGCGUGCGUAGGCGGCUUAUUAAGUCGGAUGUGAAAUCCCCGAGCUUAACUUGGGAAUUGCAUUCGAUACUGGUGAGCUAGAGUAUGGGAGAGGAUGGUAGAAUUCCAGGUGUAGCGGUGAAAUGCGUAGAGAUCUGGAGGAAUACCGAUGGCGAAGGCAGCCAUCUGGCCUAAUACUGACGCUGAGGUACGAAAGCAUGGGGAGCAAACAGGAUUAGAUACCCUGGUAGUCCAUGCCGUAAACGAUGUCUACUAGCCGUUGGGGCCUUUGAGGCUUUAGUGGCGCAGCUAACGCGAUAAGUAGACCGCCUGGGGAGUACGGUCGCAAGACUAAAACUCAAAUGAAUUGACGGGGGCCCGCACAAGCGGUGGAGCAUGUGGUUUAAUUCGAUGCAACGCGAAGAACCU